AAUAUUUCUUCAUUAUUAUUUUUAGUUUAGCUUUUAUGGAUUUGAAGACAUCUCCUGAAAGUGAAGUACUCUUGUGCAAUUCUAUUGACUCCCAAGGAAAACAGUACAGAAUAUGAAAAACAGCAAAAGACACAUUACAAGAGAAUGUCUCCUAAGACACCUGUCUGCAUAUGAAACUAUCUCUGAAUUUAAAGGGAAGUUGAGACUGACUGACAGGAGAAGUGAUUGCCAUGUGUUUCAACAGGCAGGAAAACAGUCAUAGGUACCAGCUUUUUGAUUUGAGUCUUAAAGGUGCCUCUUGUUCUACUCUACUGGUUUCUGGAGUUUUUCUUCCCAGGAAAAAUUAAUGCAUUUCAACUAGAUGGGAGAUAUGAACCCGCAGAAAUUACCUUAUCCACAUGCACAUCCAUGGGAAACCAAAGCUAUUGCCUGAAUGGACAGGUGGGAAGAACAGGAUUAACUUCUGCUGAACUAAGUGUGGACAACAUGACUUCACAGAGAGAAUAAGGAUAGCAAUGAAGCCUACUAGAUAUGGGUUUUUUAUCAAGUAGAUCAAGAACUGUUGACUUUCUUCUACUUAACCGAAGUGCAACUUCAUUCUGAAGUUCUGUGUACUCUUUACUGUAAGUUUAUCUCAGUUUAAGACAAUUAGGAGGGACAGAGACCUCAGACAGAAGUCUCCUUCCUUGGAUUCAAUACUCCUGGUUUAUCCAGUACACAGAGAGAGAUAUCAAAUGCACCUACAUGUAAGUGAAAAAAAAUAACUCUUUACCAAGAGGAAUGCCAAUAAAAAUACUGAUAAAACUGGGUUAAACCAACUGCUCAGGAGAAAUUCCCAAGCCCUGCCCACUGGAACAAACUGAAAUGAUGGCCAGCUUCCCCCACCCAGAAAAAACACACGUGGCCACAGGACAAAGACAAGAUGGCCACCCUUCUGCAUGGUUCGCCUCCCCCGAACCCAGGAAACCUGGCAGGAAUGGUUGGAGAGUCAGCAGUGGAGUGAGGCUGCAGUGCUGGUACAGCCAUUUGGAGCAGGGCUGCGGACCCCCCAGAUGACUGGAAGGACCCACAAGACUUGAUUGUGGUGGUCACAGUCCAGAUCCAUCGAGGUGGUAAAAGUCCCAUGUUGUGAGGGAAGAAAAACCUGUAUUAAGACCUAUGGUCUUUUGUUGGGCUUAGACUUGAUAGGAACACCCGUGGUACCUCCCCUGGGGCAGGGAGUUAUAUGCUGGAUGAUGUAAUACUGGAUCGGGAGUCUUUCACACCUCCUAAAAUGUUACAGCUGCCAGUUAUGUCAGCACAGGUGGAUCCAUUAUGGCCAACAUCAGAGAUGAAUAUCUUCAGACUGUGUGUGAAUUGUCCCGAUGCUUCCCCGGAGGGCAGUUACCACAGCUGAGUCAUUUGUGUAAGGACAAAGAAACACUACCCAGACUAGCAGGAUUUUGCCUCUCUCAUUACCUGUUCAACACCCAGCUUGUAGUCUGAGGUGGCAGAUGUGAACGCCUUUAGCACCUGGGAGGUUACUUUGCACAUGGUCAGCUUGCUCCUUGAUUGACUGAGUCUUCAGCAUUCCAGUUUUUCACACUUGUAGAUACAUUCUUCUAGGAUAAUAGUACUGCCAUUAUCUCAAGUUCCCCAUCACAGUCCAAAUUAGUAGGCAUACUUGGGGAAAAGAAGAGAAAAGAUGGAUACCAGAAUUUUUGUGUAACCAGGACAAAUUCAAUCCAUAAAUUUCCGGAGUUCACUGCUGUCAGCCCCAGCAAGUGUGCAGGACAGUUAUAGUCUGUAAAAUAGAACUAAUUACCACUACAUUACCCUCAGUUGUAGUGGAGGAGUGAUACUUAGCUAAUUGAUAGCCACUGAAAUGACAGAUAAAUCAGUCCAUGACAAAAGUGCAUGGUAUUUUAUUGCUCUUUCAUUUGCCCAUUCAAAGAACUCAAUUAUGCUGCAGUAAGAUCAAUGCCGAAUUCUAAUGACUCCUGUAUAAUAAGGGGAUGUUUUGAUUAAGACUGCCACACACACUUCUCCCAGUAUAUUUGGUUUAAUAAAAAAAGGUUAUUAGUCUAAAUAAAA